rnacentral:rRNA from 1 species
GACGAACGCUGGCGGCGUGCCUAAUACAUGCAAGUAGAACGCUGAAGAGAGGAGCUUGCUCUUCUUGGAUGAGUUGCGAACGGGUGAGUAACGCGUAGGUAACCUGCCUGGUAGCGGGGGAUAACUAUUGGAAACGAUAGCUAAUACCGCAUAAAAUUGAUUAUUGCAUGAUAAUUAAUUGAAAGAUGCAAUUGCAUCACUACCAGAUGGACCUGCGUUGUAUUAGCUAGUUGGUGAGGUAACGGCUCACCAAGGCGACGAUACAUAGCCGACCUGAGAGGGUGAUCGGCCACACUGGGACUGAGACACGGCCCAGACUCCUACGGGAGGCAGCAGUAGGGAAUCUUCGGCAAUGGGGGGAACCCUGACCGAGCAACGCCGCGUGAGUGAAGAAGGUUUUCGGAUCGUAAAGCUCUGUUGUAAGAGAAGAACGAGUGUGAGAGUGGAAAGUUCACACUGUGACG